UCUCCGUUGGUGAACCAGCGGAGGGAUCAUUACCGGGUUAUCAACUCCCAAACCCCUGUGAACAUACCCAACGUUGCUUCGGCGGGACCGCCCCGGCGCCCUCGGCGUCCCGGAACCAGGCGCCCGCCGGAGGACCCAAACUCUUGUUUAAACCAUAGUGGCAUAUUCUGAGUCUCACAAGAAAAAUGAAUCAAAACUUUCAACAACGGAUCUCUUGGCUCUGGCAUCGAUGAGGAACGCAGC
rnacentral:misc_RNA from 1 species